CAUGCAAGUCAAGCGGUAACAGAAAGAAAGCUUGCUUUCUUUGCUGACGAGCGGCGGACGGGUGAGUAAUGCCUGGGAAUAUGCCUUGAUGUGGGGGAUAACCAUUGGAAACGAUGGCUAAUACCGCAUAAUGCCUACGGGCCAAAGAGGGGGAUCUUCGGACCUCUCGCGUCAAGAUUAGCCCAGGUGGGAUUAGCUAGUUGGUGAGGUAAUGGCUCACCAAGGCGACGAUCCCUAGCUGGUCUGAGAGGAUGAUCAGCCACACUGGAACUGAGACACGGUCCAGACUCCUACGGGAGGCAGCAGUGGGGAAUAUUGCACAAUGGGCGCAAGCCUGAUGCAGCCAUGCCGCGUGUGUGAAGAAGGCCUUCGGGUUGUAAAGCACUUUCAGUCGUGAGGAAGGUAGUUGCGUUAAUAGCGUAAUUAUUUGACGUUAGCGACAGAAGAAGCACCGGCUAACUCCGUGCCAGCAGCCGCGGUAAUACGGAGGGUGCGAGCGUUAAUCGGAAUUACUGGGCGUAAAGCGCAUGCAGGUGGUUUGUUAAGUCAGAUGUGAAAGCCCGGGGCUCAACCUCGGAAUUGCAUUUGAAACUGGCAGACUAGAGUACUGUAGAGGGGGGUAGAAUUUCAGGUGUAGCGGUGAAAUGCGUAGAGAUCUGAAGGAAUACCGGUGGCGAAGGCGGCCCCCUG
rnacentral:rRNA from 1 species